rnacentral:rRNA from 1 species
CCUACGGGGGGCUGCAGUGGGGAAUAUUGGACAAUGGGGGCAACCCUGAUCCAGCCAUGCCGCGUGUGUGAAGAAGGCCCUCGGGUUGUAAAGCACUUUCAGUGAGGAAGAACGACUGGUGGUUAAAACCCAUCAGGAAAGACAUCACUCACAGAAGAAGCACCGGCUAACUCCGUGCCAGCAGCCGCGGUAAUACGGAGGGUGCGAGCGUUAAUCGGAAUUACUGGGCGUAAAGCGCGCGCAGGUGGCUUGAUAAGCCGGUUGUGAAAGCCCCGGGCUCAACCGGGGAACGGCAUCCGGAACUGUCAAGCUAGAGUGCAGGAGAGGAAGGUAGAACUCCCUGUGUAGCGGUGGAAUGCGUAGAGAUCUGGAGGAAUACCAGUGGCGAAGGCGGCCUUCUGGACUGACACUGACACUGAGGUGCGAAAGCGUGGGUAGCGAACAGGAUUAGAUACCCUAGUAGUC